CAGGGUCAGAAAAAGACAGAAUCCUCUAGAGCGCCAGAUUCUUCACUGAAAAUACCUCAACAAGAUGGGUGAGCGCUGACAGCAGGUAUCAAACCAGUGACCAGUGGGUGAAGGACUGUCUCCCUGAACACUUAUACUUCUGUAUGAUCAGCCUUUGGUCCCCGUGAGGACUACUGGUCCUGACAAGGUCGGUGUUUAUACCGGAAAAGGUCCCAAUGAGUUUAGAGCAAGGACGUGCCUGCGCCACGAGGAGUCGUACUGACAGAGAUGCGGCGAUGGAGGAAGAAGAAGAAGAGGAGGAGAGAGGAGGGAGUGAGGUGAAGGAGCUGUUGCUGCAGCAGAGACCAGGCGCACCGCAUGGGGAAACCCGGGAGCUGUCCAGCAGCAAUGGAGAGAACUAUGACAACAACAACAAAAAGACGUCAGCGAGGAUUGAAACGAGGUGACUUUUGUGUUCUUCUGGACCCUGCUGCUGCUGCUCCUGCUGCUGUUGUUGGAGCCUCCAGCUGUGCGUCGGAGACAAAAAAAGGGCACCCAAUGUUUUGGAUAUCACCGAGGAGCGCGCAGACACUGAUAGUGAGACACCGACUGUCCGACCGACCUUCCUCGUCUUCCUCCUCCUCCUUCAUGUCCUCCUCCUCUUCCUCAUCCCGAGAAAGAAGUGGACAAAUGCAAUCCCACAGCCCUGUGAAGCGAUGACAACACUAUGAUGGUGAUCUAUGGUGAAGAGUGCGCUCUUUAUUGACAGCAGGUGUUUUCUGCUCGGGGGGGCAGCUGACUUCAUUCAGCUGUCAGAUGUUAAACUGCCGGCCAAAACUAAACAUCAUAACACAGGAGCAAAAUGAUGAUUACGAGAAGACAGAAAAUUAAAGCUAUCGCAGGCGGUGAAGCAGAGGAUGCAGAAAACAAGGACUGUUGGCCCCGGCAGGGAGGGAGGAGGCAUCGGGACGAGCAGCGAAAGAACUCGGAUCAACUGAAACUUUUUUUUUUCCCUCAGUUUCAUCACCUGAAACCCUGAAAGUCAAGCCGGUUUUAAUGGGACACACCCGCCCCCUCUUUGUCCUCAAUGCCAGGGGGAGUCGUCUGUUGCCAGAAAGGGAAGGAUAAACAGAACAAUGUGACUUCAACCACGAUGUGAGGCAGCACUAUACGUUCAUCACUGUCUGCUCAGCUGGACACAACACACACACACACACACACACACACACACACACACACACACACACACACACACACACACACACACACACACACCACACACACAGGUGAUUAUAUGUUAUAUCUUUCAUGUAAUGUUAUAUGAAUAUUGUGCAAAUCACAGCAAACAACCUAUACUAUCAUUUCACUGUGCAUUCAAGCACAACUCUGCCUGUUUUUUAACACUAAAACUAACAUAAGAAAAACUGCAAAACUGUCAAAUAUAAUUUGAUGAGAAAACUCAGCUGAUAUGUAAAUAAAUCAGUUGAGCCCAAUAAAGACUAAAUCUGAUUGUGUUUUUUUAAAUAUUUUGAACACAAUACAAAUUACUGAAGGUAAUUCUUGCACUCCCCGUUUAUUAAAAUGUAUUUUAAAGCUGCAUACCGGUGAAA